GACGGACCGUGCGAACGUUAUUCGGAAUCACUGGGCUUAAAGGGCGCGUAGGCGGGUCAUCAAGUCCGGGGUGAAAGCCCACGGCCCAACCGUGGAAGUGCCUUGGAUACUGAAGACCUCGAGGGGGAUAGGGGCGUGCGGAACUCAGGGUGGAGCGGUGAAAUGCGUAGAUAUCCUGAGGAACACCGGUGGCGAAAGCGGCGCGCUGGAUCCCUUCUGACGCUGAGGCGCGAAAGCCAGGGGAGCAAACGGG
rnacentral:rRNA from 1 species